rnacentral:misc_RNA from 1 species
AUUAGUUUUUCUUUAUAGUACAGAUAGCUGAGUUACAUACUAUGAAUGAACACAAGUUUUCAUAAAUCAUAGGGAGAUCUUUCCUUGUAAAUUAUCUUCUUUGGAUUGCUCGAAUUGGAACCAGGUUGACUGACUCGAGGUCCAGUUCCCUAUGCUUCAGUUUUUGGAAUAGUUGGUUUGUAGAAAUAAGAAUACUUUUUUGGUUCAUCUCCAGAUUUGUAGUUCAUAGACACAGAAGAUGCAAGUUUCACUAGACUUUGUUGAGCCUUUUGUAAGACUCUAGUUGUCUUCACUUUAGCUAUAUAAAAGCCAAUAGCAUCUACAUACCAUCCACUUCUUCCUUUAAAGCCUACAAUCUGCCCACCUUCCAUUGGCAUGGAAAAUGGCGUUCCUCCUUCAACACCAAAUGGUCCAAAUUUUCGUUUGUUGCUGCUAAAAGUGAGGGACCUUAUCACAGGACUACCACCAUACACCACCGGGCAAUAAUAGCCGCUAACGCUCGUUAGGUAUUCUUCUGGAAAUUGCAGCUUAAUCUGCGCAGUUCUACUGCCUCCAACUCCUCCAUGCUUCUCUGCUUGAUAAGGCUGGCCAUUUUGGUCAUAGACAACAGUGAUGGAGUCUAUACAAAGAGAAUAGACAAGGGUAAUUUCUCUAACUCCAUUGAAGCUACCAUCAUCCCAAGGGCUUCCACCAUGACCACCCCAUGAUCCAAUGACGAUCCUCUUCUUUAUUUCGCUUCCUUCGUCCCAGUCCAUCACCGUAAAUGCAAAGAUAUGAUUCCAAACCUAAUCAAGUUGAUUUCAAGAAAGAACCGGUUUUAUAUAGUGGUAGAAGCCAACUUAUCGUUGUA